AUUGAACGCUGGCGGCAUGCCUUACACAUGCAAGUCGAACGGCAGCGCGUCCUUCGGGAUGGCGGCGAGUGGCGAACGGGUGAGUAGAGCAUCGGAACGUGCCCGGUAGUGCGGGAUAGCUCGGCGAAAGCCGGAUUAAUACCGCAUGAGAUCCGAGGAUGAAAGCAGGGGAUCGCAAGACCUUGCGCUACUGGAGCGGCCGAUGUCAGAUUAGGUAGUUGGUGGGGUAAAGGCUCACCAAGCCUGCGAUCUGUAGCUGGUCUGAGAGGAUGAUCAGCCACAUCGGGACUGAGACACGGCCCGAACUCCUACGGGAGGCAGCAGUGGGGAAUUUUGGACAAUGGGCGCAAGCCUGAUCCAGCCAUGCCGCGUGCAGGAUGAAGGCCCUCGGGUUGUAAACUGCUUUUGUACGGAACGAAAGGCCUCCUUCGAAUAAAGGGGGGAGAUGACGGUACCGUAAGAAUAAGCACCGGCUAACUACGUGCCAGCAGCCGCGGUAAUACGUAGGGUGCGAGCGUUAAUCGGAAUUACUGGGCGUAAAGCGUGCGCAGGCGGUUUUGCAAGACAGUGGUGAAAUCCCCGGGCUCAACCUGGGAACUGCCAUUGUGACUGCAAGGCUGGAGUACGGCAGAGGGGGAUGGAAUUCCGCGUGUAGCAGUGAAAUGCGUAGAUAUGCGGAGGAACACCGAUGGCGAAGGCAGUCCCCUGGGCCUGUACUGACGCUCAUGCACGAAAGCGUGGGGAGCAAACAGGAUUAGAUACCCUGGUAGUCCACGCCCUAAACGAUGUCAACUGGUUGUUGGGGAUUUAUUUCUUCAGUAACGAAGCUAACGCGUGAAGUUGACCGCCUGGGGAGUACGGCCGCAAGGUUAAAACUCAAAGGAAUUGACGGGGACCCGCACAAGCGGUGGAUGAUGUGGUUUAAUUCGAUGCAACGCGAAAAACCUUACCCACCUUUGACAUGUAUGGAAUCCUGAAGAGAUUUGGGAGUGCUCGCAAGAGAGCCAUAACACAGGUGCUGCAUGGCUGUCGUCAGCUCGUGUCGUGAGAUGUUGGGUUAAGUCCCGCAACGAGCGCAACCCUUGCCAUCAGUUGCUACGAAAGGGCACUCUGAUGGGACUGCCGGUGACAAACCGGAGGAAGGUGGGGAUGACGUCAAGUCCUCAUGGCCCUUAUAGGUGGGGCUACACACGUCAUACAAUGGCCGGUACAAAGGGCAGCGAAGCCGCGAGGUGAAGCCAAUCCCAUAAAGCCGGUCGUAGUCCGGAUUGCAGGCUGCAACUCGCCUGCAUGAAGUCGGAAUCGCUAGUAAUCGUGGAUCAGCAUGUCACGGUGAAUACGUUCCCGGGUCUUGUACACACCGCC
rnacentral:rRNA from 1 species